rnacentral:lncRNA from 1 species
CAGUGAAAUGCUGAAUACAACCGGUGUAGUAGACCUUACAGUGAAAUGCUUACUUGCGAGUCCCUAACCAACAAUGCAGUUUAAAUUUAAAAAAAAAUGAAUCAGUCACAAGUAAUUAAAGAGUAAAUAAAUAAUAAGUAAAUAACAAUGUGGAGGCUAUAUACAGGGGGGUACCGGUACAGGGUCAAUGUGGAGGCUAUAUACAGGGGGGUACCGGUACAGAGUCAAUGUGUGGGGGCACCGGUGUCGGGGUAAUUGAGGUAAUAUGUAGGUAGAGUUAUUAAAGCGUCUAUGCAUAGAUGAUAACAACAGAGAGUAGCAGCAGUGUAGAAGAGGGUGGGGGGGGGGCAAUGCAAAUAUUCUGGGUUGCCAUUUGAUUAGGUGUUCAGGAGUCUUAUGGCCUGGGGGUAGAAUCUGUUUAGAAGCCUCUUGGUCCUAGACUUGGCGCUUUGGUACCGCUUGCCGUGCGGUAGCAGAGAGAACAGUCUAUGACUAGGGUGGCAAGUCAUAGACUGACAAUUUUUAGGGCCUUCCUCUGACACUGCCUGGUAUAGAGGUCCUGGAUAGCAGGAUACUUGGCCCCAGUGAUGUACUGGGCCAUACGCACUACCUUCUGUAGUGCCUUGUGGGCCGAAGGCCGAGCAGGUGCCAUACCAGGCAGUGAUGCAACCAGUCAGGACGCUCUCGAUGGUGCAGCUGUAGAACCUUUUGAGGAUCUGAGGACUCAUGUCAAAUCUUUUCAGUCUCCUGAGGGGGAAUAGGCUUUGUCGUGCCCUCUUCAUGACUGUCUUGGUGUGUUUGGACCAUGUUAGUUUGUUGGGGAUGUGGACAUCAAGAAUCUUGAAGCUCUCAACCUGCUCCACUACAGCCCCGUUGUGCUCGGUCCUCUUUUUCCUGUAGUCCAC